GGCAGGGAUCAAUCUGUUGUCUAGUCAACCAAGUAAGACCAUGAUUAUCGCAUAAGCGAUCCUUAGGUUUUUUUUUUUUUUUUUUUUCUUCUUAAAAAAAAAGUAAAAAUUAAAAAUGAGCCAAUUGCGGGCUGUCACGUGUCGGUGGAGUCCGCAAACAAUGCCAAACCCCCACUUACCGAUCCUUAUUUGGUGUUUGAUGGUAGCAGUUUUUAAAAUUUUUGUGGGAUCCACGCGUCAGUGGG
rnacentral:lncRNA from 1 species